GCCUGAGCCCAAACUGUGGCCUUCUGCCUUACACAGUCAGUUUGGAACCAGACCUGGGGCUGUGGCCUCAGGUCAUCUUCCCCAACUGCAACUUUUAGAGUGCUCAGGGUCCCAAAAGUUGGGAAAGAAACUGUCCACUAGCAGAGGUGGCAACAGACCCAUCUUUCUGAGCCCUGUUCAGGGCUCUUUCCAUUCUACAUGCUAGAAACUGGAGAGAAAGGAGUCACCCAAGCCACACACACUGGUCUCAUAGUCCUUAAGGUGCCAAGUUUCCAUCCUUAAGGCUCCCUGUGGCUGGGGCCGUCUCAC
rnacentral:lncRNA from 1 species